rnacentral:lncRNA from 1 species
AGAUUGCCUACUUACAAGCAGAUGAGGAUGAUGAUGGGCUGCAGUUUGGCUCCACUGGUCUGGUGUAGAACAGGAUCUCUGGAGGCUGUUUGCAACUGUGGUCACAAAAUUCAAUGUUCUGGGAGAAUUGGAAGCAGCUCCAUUUUUUUUGGGGCCCCUUACACAGCUCAAGGUCUGGGCCCCAGGGCCUGACGGUGAGUAUGCCCAUAAGGCCCACUCAUAAGUUCCACCCACCCAUGAGUUCGCUCACAGGGAGUGGAGUGUGUAGGGGAUGUGUUAUGUGUUAUUGUAGAGGAUCUAAUAUGUGUGCUUAUAGUAUGUAGUGUAUAGGGUUACCAGUUUGUGCAGGUGAUGUAGUGUGU